UACGUAGGGUGCGAGCGUUGUCCGGAAUUAUUGGGCGUAAAGAGCUUGUAGGUGGCUCGUUGCGUCGGGAGUGAAAACCUGCGGCUUAACCGCAGGCCUGCUUCCGAUACGGGCGAGCUAGAGUUCGGCAGGGGAGACUGGAAUUCCUGGUGUAGCGGUGGAAUGCGCAGAUAUCAGGAGGAACACCAACGGCGAAGGCAGCUCGCUGGGACGGUACUGACACUGAAGCGCGAAAGCGUGGGGAGCAAACGGG
rnacentral:rRNA from 1 species